GUGCCAGCAGCCGCGGUAAUACGUAGGGGGCGAGCGUUGUCCGGAUUUACUGGGCGUAAAGGGUGAGUAGGCGGUUAAUUAAGUCAGAUGUAAAAGGCAUAGGCUCAACUUAUGUAAGCAUCUGAUACUGGUUAACUUGAGUGCAGGAGAGGUAAGUGGAAUUCCUAGUGUAGCGGUGAAAUGCGUAGAUAUUAGGAGGAACACCAGUGGCGAAGGCGACUUACUGGACUGUAACUGACGCUGAGUCACGAAAGCGUGGGUAGCAAACAGGAUUAGAUACCCUGGUAGUCCACGCUGUAAACGAUGAGUGCUAGGUGUUGGGUAGCGAUACUCAGUGCCGACGUAAACACAAUAAGCACUCCGCCUGGGGAGUACGGUCGCAAGACUGAA
rnacentral:rRNA from 1 species